rnacentral:tRNA from 1 species
AAAUAAGAAGCAAAAUAUUGCAUUUAAUUUCGACUUAAAAAUUAGGGUAAAAUGUGCCCCUUAUUUA